UUCGUCUCAGAGUUUAUAACUGUAUUAAUUUAGUCAAUACUCAUGAAAUUAGAGCUGAAGUAGUAUUCCAUGAUGAUAGUUUUGGUUCAUAUCAAAAAUGUCUAUGGACUAAAUUGACACUUUAUAGACUCUGUGACUAAAAUGAACCAUUGCAAAGAGUCAUGGGAUUAUUUUGACAAUUUUCCUUGUUUGUGACCCAAGUUCCAACUAACAUAAUAAAGAAUGCAUAUGGACCGGUUCCUAUAAAAAACUACUAUAGCAGGCCUAUAGCUAGAAAUUUUAUUUGGUACAAGAUAUCAUUAACGGCUCUUUUUCCAGGAUGAUGUCUUUGAGAUCCGUGAACCAAAUGCUGUGAUUAUGCGCCGGCUUGUGUUGCUUUUGUAUAACUAGUCCUUAGAAGUUUCUUAUUCAUGUUGGGAUACUUCAUGUGGUUAUGCCUCUACCACGUUCAGGUUCUUCUAAAUCAGGAAAACCAAUUACCUAAGUGAUAAUUAAAGAUUUAGACUUCACAUCGUAACUUUGUACAAUCUACAGAAUUUCAAUCAUAAUCGUUUUCUCUGUAUGUGUGUGUAUUUAUAUGGAAAAGUAUGUCGAUUCUACGCUGAAAAAAAUAUUAUAAUUAGUAUCAGAGGGAUAUUAAUUGGAGUUCAUAACUGACACUUUGAAUCAUUAUAUGGUACAUAAAGGUUGGAGAAUGAGUAUACUUGCAUUGGCAUUAUCUAAAUGGUAUAAUGGUGAUUUUGAUAUGACAGAAUCUCCUCCUCUCAGCAUCCAAUAAAAAUUCUGUGCUGAAAAUUGCAGAUUUCGGCUUUGCAAGGUCUUUGCAACCGCAUGGUUUAGCUGAAACUUUAUGUGGUUCUUUUCUAUACAUGACUCCAGAAAUAAUGCAGCUUCAAAAAUAUGAUGCAAAGGCAGAUCUCUGGAGCGUUGGUACAAUUUUAUUUCAGCUGGUCAUGGGAAAGACUCCUUUUACUGGCAACACUCAAGUGCAGCUGCUGCAAAAUAUAGUAAAAUCAAAUGAGGUGCAUUUCAAGAAGUUGCUAAGCCGAAAUCCAGUGAGCGUGUAUCUUCUGAGGAGUUCUCCAACCAACCAUUUCUUUCACGACAUAAAUCAAAUGAAUUAAUGAUAUUUUGGCCAUAGGUCCUCAGGAAGAAGUAAUCAAGAUGGCUUGCCUUUCCCUUUAGAUGAUGAGUCUGCAUAGCGUCAUGGAAGCCUGUUGGCAGCAGUGAAUGGCAGCCCUGUUAAACCCACUUAUGUAUUUAAUGUGGGAGUCCAUAUAUGUUCUACUGAUUCCUCCAAAUUCAGUGCUCCGACAGAAUCUAGCUCUGCUAACAAAAUGGAAACGUCUUAUGGAUAUGAUUCCUGUGAACUCCCAAGCCAAAGUACGAAGGGAACAAGUCUGGAUGCCAUGGAUGCUAAACAGAAUCCCAAAAUUGUCGAUUCACUAGACUUGGUUGAUCAGGAUUAUGUCAUUAUGUCUAGAGCCCCCUUAGAGAUGUCAUCUUCUUUAUUAAGCUUCUCUGAGUCGCACCACUCUACCUGCAAAUCAGAUAACUCGCUGGCAGCAUCUGGAAAUUGUGCAUUAAGUGCACCAAUGUCGAUAGUCGGAGUUCCAAUCAAUAAGAUCCACGCUAUGGGAAGCCUGGAAUGUCUCAGCUAUCCACAAGGAUCCAUGGAUUUUGGGGAUACUAUCGAACAAACAUCAGCUCACUGCAUUACAUGGAUUAGAUUGUUGCAAAAAUGCAGUUUUGUAAUGACCGAGUUGCUGAAGGGCGAGGUAAGACCCAUGAUUGAAUCAAUAUGAUAUUUGAAGCAUGUGAUUUCUAUUUAAUUGUAGAAGAAAAUGAAAUUUAAUGUUGUAUGUAUUAUAAAUGUUUCUCCUACGUAUGAUAAUAUUUAGAAUUGGGCAAUGAGAAGUUCAACUUUUCCAAUGAACAAACCUGUACUCUUGCUGCUAUGGGUUGUUAAUAUUUGUUUACUAGAACAUAAAUUAAGAAGCUUGACAUCCACAUUA